ACCAGUAGGACCAGAUGACCAUGGAGGCCUGACCUGGGGCUGCCCGGCAGUAGUGGAAGCCCAGGUGCCCCAGAGCUGAGUCUUUCACAGGCACCCAGAAGGCUAUCCUUAAUCCCUCUGGGCCAAGUAGCAGCAAAGCCCAGGAGCUCCCUGAGGGCCAUAGACUACUCGGCUGUAUUCUGUUAUCCCUGCCUUUUCCUGGAAUGCCGAGGCUCACAAUGUAACUUCAGCUAAGAACACAAAUAUCAGUGUGGGGCAGCCUGAGCUGAGGAUUCAUCUGGGAGGAUCAACUCUAAGACUGAUGCUCUCACGAAGAUCUCAGGAAUACCCACAAAGGGUGCCUGUCCUCUUGCUCUUGUGUGGGUUCUGUGUCUUACAAACCCACUCUCCUGACCCUGCUUCUCAGCAUGCAUCACCCGUGUGAUGAGAGACCCACAAAUGCUACGCUCUACACUUCACCCUGAGGGGCUCCUCAGCAACCAGGACAACUGUGAGAGGCUGAGGGUGUCACUUCAUCUCUGGAAGAGCACACAAAGGUGGGUGUUUUUGCUCUUUGUUUCUCCUGUGGCCAGUAUUUGCACAGUGGCUCUCCAAGGCUCAUCUGAGUGAUCCCAGAGUACAGGAGCAACUUAAGGAACCCACUUGCUUCCUUCCUUCUGCCACUGAGUUAAAACAGGGAACUUGCCAGUCACCAUUUCUACAUCUUUCAGGCCAUGUGCAUCUAUCUUCAGACUCCUCUCACCCUUCUAGCCCAUCAUUGGUCCGUUUGGUUGCUGUUGUCAGGGUAACGGUAGGCUGGCCCUUUGCCUCUAGGGGUAUUAAUGUGAGCCACCAGCAGGAGAUAUGCCAGCAGCUGUGGGGCCCACCUGUCUCUCACUGACUGUAGACCAGUUCCAGGCAGCUUGAGCAGCAAAGCACAGGGGCACACUAGCAGGCCGGGGCACAGCAGAGUGUGGGUGUUAUAUUGCCUCUGAGCACUGUGUCACUUUAUCCACUGCUUAGGGACUAAUGGAUCAGGAGUAUAAAGAGAAGGUUACAGCCAUGUCCUUGGUAAUCCAUGGACUGUGAUCUGCGUGUUCAGCCCACGUCAGCAGUUUGAUUUCAAGGGUUGAUUUGCGUAUGCCAGUGGAAAACUCAGGGUCUUAUCUAACCCAUGAAUUUCCAAAAUAAUUUAAAAGGUACUUUUUCAGAAACAUGGCACUGUUAAAAUUAGAAAUUAAUAUAUAACUUC
ensembl:lincRNA Gm43419 predicted gene 43419